CCCUCUGGAUCUCCAGAUUGAUACUGGGGUUUCCUGAUGUUCUCACUUUAUGCUGGCCCUAGUCUUAUUUCAAUUCUCUUAUGCCCUGCAUAGCUGUUAAAACAAAAUCCUAAACUCAGCAAUGUUCAUCGCAAGGUGAAUUCAUUUCCCUCAGAAAUCUUGCAUUCUCUAAAUCUGUGGGGGCAAAGGGGUGGCAGAGUAAGAGGGAGGAUCCCAUGUCCAUCUCUUGCAUUACACUUUUACAUUAGACUUCACUUGGAAAUAAAUUUAACAACUGCUCCAGCCAUUAAGAGGCACCUAAGCAUGGCUCGAUGAGCAGUGUGUAGGUCUGUGCCUGGGAUCCAGCCCCGUGGAACCUGGGCCACUGAAGUGGAGCACGUGAACUCAACUAUUACACACCUGGCCAGCCCCUAUGCUGCCUUAUUGAACUGGGCUGGGCUGAAUAACUACUUUUCUAGUAUGUUUUGUGUGGGCUUCCUACAAUACACAAUUUGUGAAAAUGACCCUCAGGCCUGUUUUGAUAAUCAAUCUUGGAGCCCCCUCUGAAUCCUCAAUUUGUUGAAAUGUCAAUUUGCUAAUGUUUUUUCUAAACCAAUAACCUGAAGUGUGGAAAUGCGUGAAAUGUAGACAUGAAACAUAUUAACAUUUUCAAAGUUGCACAGUCUUUGAAAUGGUACAAAAGCAGUUUCGUCUUGUUAGGUGAAGGCAAGUUUGGUUUGUACCCUGAGGAAAGUAUAGGAAGGGUGUCCUUUAAACACCCAGGAUGGAGAAUGUAGCAUCAGUGUCACAUUGAAAUUUUUAAAAAUCUCCAGGCUGAUUUCACAUUCCAUAAAGGACAGAAUCCUUUGCGAGGAGGAGGCAAAAGGAAGGAGAAAUAGACCCGGUGCCUGCUGCCUGUCUCCCUAGCUGGGAUCCAAGAGCUGCUUUUAAAUUUAUGAGAUCAGAACAUCAAAAGAUAGCAGCUAAAAAUAUUCAUGUAGAGUGGAAAUUUUGACAAAAAUUUAGAGGUUUAUUUUUCCCCUCAAGAAAUGAGUGCAUGUGUUUUACAAGCUAUUUCUCAGGACUUGGUUUACAUAGAGACCCACUUAUUAAAGAAGGAAUCAAUACAAAGGAUUCUACAGAACAUCAUCAACUCAGUCAGAUGCUCUGGGACUGCACUGUCACUGGUGACCUACCCCCUAUGCUCCUAUGCGAGGUAAAUACAAGACUUCUCAAAGGGUCCCCCACUUAAGCGAGGCCGUGCUGGGCCUCCAACAGCACCAUGGAAGGGGGUUUCCCUUCCACCCUCUGCAGUGCACUUUCUUGAAGGAAUUAGAAUCUGUGAGCUGCUGAACUCUUAUGAAGCCAGGGACAGAGGCUGGGCUGUCCAACAGAGUCUGUAAAAGGUUUAGAAUGUAGAUUUCAGUUGGAAAGUUCCUGACAGUUUCUCAUUUGGAAAGCGAAUAAAUACGCAGUGGGUUUUUUUGGUACAGAAAAUAUUACAAAGCCCAUAAAUGUAUGUAUAGAAUAACAUGUAC
rnacentral:lncRNA from 1 species